CACGUAGGGUGCGAGCGUUGUCCAGAAUUAUUGGGCGUAAAGAGCUCGUAGGCGGUGUGUCGCGUCGGCCGUGAAAACCUGCAGCUUAACUGUGGGCGUGCGGUCGAUACGGGCAUCACUGGAGUUCGGCAGGGGAGACUGGAAUUCCUGGUGUAGCGGUGAAAUGCGCAGAUAUCAGGAGGAACACCGGUGGCGAAGGCGGGUCUCUGGGCCGAAACUGACGCUGAGGAGCGAAAGCGUGGGGAGCAAACAGG
rnacentral:rRNA from 1 species